CGACGUCACGCGAAAUAAGACUUAAUUUGGCUAAAGUAAUGGAUACUGCCCGGUUCCAUUUUGUUAAACGUAAAGAUAAAAUUCCAGAAGUGAAAGAUACAAGACGGUCUAAAGGACAGCGCAUUAAAUAUUUCCGUUACGAGAUUCAAUUUAGUGCCCCGAAUGAGAGUCAUGCCGAACGAGUACGUUGAGUGAAGCCCAAACCCAACUGAACCUGGUGCCUAGAAGCUGAACCAACAAGCCGAACCCAGCCCAGCCUGUUCCUCGACAUCACGGAGAGAGCCGCCUAGUUCCCAAGCCGAGUUCAGUAGUGGAGCCAUUGGCGACGAACUCCUCAUCUUAAGCUGUACAAUAUUCGAAGCCGAAUCUGCUAGACUCUGAGCCGUUGCAAGCCGAUCGCGCGUCGUGGGUCUCAG